GACGAACGCUGGCGGCGUGCCUAAUACAUGCAAGUCGAACGCAGUGGGGACGGGUGAGUAACACGUGGGUAACCUCCCAUCAGAGGGGAUAACACUUGGAAACAGGUGCUAAACCGCUACUGAUGGAUGGACCCGCGGUGCAUUAGCUAGUUGGUGAGGUAACGGCUCACCAAGGCUACGAUGCAUAGCCGACCGGAGAGUGUGUGCGGCCAAACUGGGACUGAGACACGGCCCGGGCUCCUCCGGGAGGCCGCAGUAGGGAAUCUUCGGGAAUGGACGAGAGUCUGACCGAGCAACGCCGCGUGAGUGAAGAGGGUUUUCGGAUCGUAAAACUCUGUUGUUAGAGAAGCGGUAUCUAACCAGAAAGUCAGGGCUAACUACGUGCCAGCCGCCGCGGUAAUAC
rnacentral:rRNA from 1 species